rnacentral:rRNA from 1 species
CGCGUAGGAAUCUACCGAAUAGUGGCGGAUAACUUAGGGAAACUUAAGCUAAUACGGCAUACGACCUUCGGUGAAAGGGGGACGUUCGGCUCCUUUGCUAUUCGAUGAGCCUGCGUAAGAUUAGCUAGUUGGUGUGGUAAAGGCGCACCAAGGCGACGAUCUUUAGCUGGUCUGAGAGGAUGAUCAGCCACACUGGAACUGAGACACGGUCCAGACUCCUACGGGAGGCAGCAGUGGGGAAUAUUGCACAAUGGGGGAAACCCUGAUGCAGCCAUGCCGCGUGUGUGAAGAAGGCCUUAG